rnacentral:rRNA from 1 species
AGUGAACGCUGGCGGUAGGCCUAACACAUGCAAGUCGAACGGCAGCACAGUAAGAGCUUGCUCUUACGGGUGGCGAGUGGCGGACGGGUGAGGAAUACAUCGGAAUCUACUUUUUCGUGGGGGAUAACGUAGGGAAACUUACGCUAAUACCGCAUACGACCUACGGGUGAAAGCAGGGGAUCUUCGGACCUUGCGCGAUUGAAUUAGCCGAUGUCGGAUUAGCUAGUUGGCGGGGUAAAGGCCCACCAAGGCGACGAUCCGUAGCUGGUCUGAGAGGAUGACCAGCCCACCUGAAACUGAGACCCGGUCCAGACUCCUACGGGAGGCAGAAGUGGGGAAUAUCGGAAAAUGGGCGAAAGCCUGAUCCAGCCAUACCGCGUGGGUGAAGAAGGCCUUCGGGUUGUAAAGCCCUUUUGUUGGGAAAGAAAAGCAGCAGGUUAAUACCCCGCUGUUCUGACGGAACCAAAAGAAUAAGCACCGGCUACCUUCGU